rnacentral:rRNA from 1 species
GACGAACGCUGGCGGCGUGCUUAACACAUGCAAGUCGAACGGAAAGGCCCCUUUGGGGGUACUCGAGUGGCGAACGGGUGAGUAACACGUGAGUAACCUGCCCUUGACUUCUGGAUAACUUCAUGAAACUGGGGCUAAUCCCGGAUAGGAAUCCUUGCUGCAUGGUGGGGGUUGGAAAGCUUCUGCGGUUUUGGAUGUACUCGCGGCUUAUCCUCUUGUUGUUGGGGUAGUGGCUUACCAAGGCUUUUACGGGUAGCCGGCCUGAGAGGGCGACCGGCCACAGUGGGACUGAGAUACGGCCCAGACUCCUACGGGAGGCAGCAGUGGGGAAUAGUGCAAAAUGGGCGGAAGCCUGAUGCAGCAACGCCGCGUGCGGGAUGACGGCCUUCGGGUUGUAAACCGCUUUCAGCAGGGGCGAAGCUUGUGGUGACGGUACCUGCAGAAGAAGCACCGGCUAACUACGUG